UACGAAGGGGGCUAGCGUUGUUCGGAGUUACUGGGCGUAAAGGGCGCGUAGGCGGCGCACCAAGUCAGGCGUGAAAGCCCUGGGCUCAACCCGGGAAUUGCGCUUGAGACUGGUGUGCUUGAGUACGGGAGAGGAUAGUGGAAUUCCCAGUGUAGAGGUGAAAUUCGUAGAUAUUGGGAAGAACACCGGGUGGCGAAGGCGGCUAUCUGGACCGUAACUGACGCUGAGGCGCGGAAAGCGUGGGGAGCAAACAGGG
rnacentral:rRNA from 1 species